rnacentral:rRNA from 1 species
GCAGUUUUUGGAUGAACUAAGCCAUGCGAGUCAUUGUAGUAAUACAAGGCAGACGGCUCAGUAACGCGUCCCUUAAAUAACCUAUGGACGGGAAUAACCUCGGGAAACUGACUUUAAUGAGAGAUAGAACAUUAUGCAUGGAAUGGUUUAUGUUCCAAAUGAUUUAUAGUCGUAGGAUGGGACUGCCCCCUAUCAGUUUGUUGGUGAGGUAAUGGCCCACCAAGACUAUUACAGGUACGGGCUCUGAGAGGAGUGGCCCGGAGAUGGGUACUGAGACACGGACACAGGCCCUAUGGGGCGCAGCUUGUGAGAAAACUUUGCUAUGUGCGAAAGCACGACAAGGGUAAUCCGAAUGGUUUCCGGUAAAAGAACCUUUUGUCGGUCCUAAAAACACCGAUAAAAAAAGGGUGGUUUAGUUGUGGUGUCCGCCGCCGCGCGUAAACCAGCAGCUCAAGGGGUCAGGAUGAUUAUUGGGUCUAAAGCAUCCGUAGCCCGAUCUGUUAGUUUUCGGUUAAAUCUGUACGCUCAACGUAGCGGGUGUCGGGAAUACUGCAUAUUUUUGGAGUGGGAGAGGUGGACGGUUCUCCGUAGGAAGGGGAAAAAUCCUUUCAUCUUAUUGGUGACCACCUGGGGGGAAAGGGGUCCUCCCCAACACCCUCCAAAGGUGGGGGAUGAAAGUUGUGGGGACAAACCCGAUUAUUUAUACCGGGGGUUUCCCGCUUUUAAACUUGGGAAACUCCGUGAUGUAAUUGGGGUGUGGUCCGUUGGAAUGGUUGAAGGGAAAUCCGUCAAUUUUGCCGCCCUGGGUAAAACUUACGCAAGGU